rnacentral:rRNA from 1 species
UACGUAGGCAGCAAGCGUUGUUCGGAAUCACUGGGCGUAAAGGGCGCGUAGGCGGCCGAUCAAGUCGGGGGUGAAAGCCUGUGGCUCAACCACAGAAUUGCCUUCGAUACUGUUUGGCUUGAGACCGGAAGAGGUUAGUGGAACUGCGAGUGUAGAGGUGAAAAUUCGUAGAUAUUCGCAAGAACACCAGUGGCGAAGGCGGCUGACUGGUCCGGUUCUGACGCUGAGGCGCGAAAAGCGUGGGGAGCAAACAGG